CACGUAGGGCGCAAGCGUUGUCCGGAAUUAUUGGGCGUAAAGAGCUCGUAGGUGGUUUGUUACGUCUGCUGUGAAAACCUAGGGCUUAACCCUGGGCUUGCAGUGGAUACGGGCAGACUAGAGGUAUGCAGGGGAGAACGGAAUUCCUGGUGUAGCGGUGAAAUGCGCAGAUAUCAGGAGGAACACCAGUGGCGAAGGCGGCUCACUGGUCCGGUACUGACGCUGAGGUGCGAAAGCGUGGGGGAGCAAACAGG
rnacentral:rRNA from 1 species